rnacentral:rRNA from 1 species
AUUGAACGCUGGCGGCAGGCCUAACACAUGCAAGUCGAACGAGUGGCAGCCGGGUGAGGAAUGUCUGGGAAACUGCGUGAUGGAGGGGGAUCACGACUGGAAACGGUCGCAUAUACCGUAAAAUAAGGGAUGUGCCCAGAUGGGAUUAGAUAGUGGGUGGGGUAAAGGCUCACCUAGGCGACGAUCCCUAGCUGGUCUGAGAGGAUGACCAGCCACACUGUAACUGAGACACGGUCCAGACUCCUACGGGAGGCAGCAGUGGGGAAUAUUGCACAAUGGGCGCAAGCCUGAUGCAGCCAUGCCGCGUGUAUGAAGAAGGCCUUCGGGUUGUAAAGUACUUUCAGCGGGGAGGCGUUACCCGCAGAAGAAGCACCGGCUAACUCCGUGCCAGCAGCCGCGGUAAUUC